AUACCUUUCUCGGCCUUUUGGCUAAGAUCAAGUGUAGUAUCUGUUCUUAUCAGUUUAAUAUCUGAUAUGUGGGGUACACCCUCACAACGAUAUUAAAUUUAUUUUUUGUGGGGGUGGGCCCACCACGGUGGCUUGCCACUGGGGCCCACAGGUGUCGCCGCGUUGCACUAUUGCCUGGGCAGGCGCACCCCAA
rnacentral:snRNA from 1 species